UGGGGAAUAUUGGACAAUGGGCGAAAGCCUGAUCCAGCCAUGCCGCGUGUGUGAAGAAGGUCUUCGGAUUGUAAAGCACUUUAAGUUGGGAGGAAGGGCAGUAACCUAAUACGUUGCUGUCUUGACGUUACCGACAGAAUAAGCACCGGCUAACUCUGUGCCAGCAGCCGCGGUAAUACAGAGGGUGCAAGCGUUAAUCGGAAUUACUGGGCGUAAAGCGCGCGUAGGUGGUUUGUUAAGUUGGAUGUGAAAUCCCCGGGCUCAACCUGGGAACUGCAUUCAAAACUGACAAGCUAGAGUAUGGUAGAGGGUGGUGGAAUUUCCUGUGUAGCGGUGAAAUGCGUAGAUAUAGGAAGGAACACCAGUGGCGAAGGCGACCACCUGGACUGAUACUGACACUGAGGUGCGAAAGCGUGGGGAGCAAACAGGAUUAGAUACCCAUGUAGUCCCUGAGCGGGCUGGCAAGGCGCAU
rnacentral:rRNA from 1 species